rnacentral:tRNA from 1 species
UGCGGUGUGGAGCAGUUGGUAGCUCGGCGGGUUCAUUCCCCGCAGGUCGCAGGUUCGAGUCCUGCCGCCGCCA